rnacentral:rRNA from 1 species
UACGGAGGGUGCAAGCGUUAAUCGGAAUUACUGGGCGUAAAGCGCACGUAGGCGGUUUGUUAAGCUAGAUGUGAAAGCCCCGGGCUCAACCUGGGAAUUGCAUUUAGAACUGGCAAGCUAGAGUAGGGUAGAGGGGUGUGGAAUUCCAGGUGUAGCAGUGAAAUGCGUAGAUAUCUGGAGGAACAUCAGUGGCGAAGGCAGCAUCCUGGACUAAUACUGACGCUGAGGUGCGAAAGCGUGGGUAGCAAACAGG